rnacentral:rRNA from 1 species
GCCGCGGUAAUACGAAGGGUGCAAGCGUUACUCGGAAUUACUGGGCGUAAAGCGUGCGUAGGUGGUCGUUUAAGUCCGUUGUGAAAGCCCUGGGCUCAACCUGGGAACUGCAGUGGAUACUGGCCGACUAGAGUGUGGUAGAGGGUAGCGGAAUUCCUGGUGUAGCAGUGAAAUGCGUAGAGAUCAGGAGGAACAUCCAUGGCGAAGGCAGCUACCUGGACCAACACUGACACUGAGGCACGAAAGCGUGGGGAGCAAACGGGAUUAGAUACCCUGGUAGUCCACGCCCUAAACGACGCGAACUGGAUGUUGGGUGCAAUUUGGCACGCAGUAUCGAAGCUAACGCGUUAAGUUCGCCGCCUGGGGAGUACGGUCGCAAGACUGAAACUCAAAGGAAUUGACGGGGGCCCGCACAAGCGGUGGAGUAUGUGGUUUAAUUCGAUGCAACGCGAAGAACCUUACCUGGCCUUGACAUGUCGAGAACUUUCCAGAGAUGGAUUGGUGCCUUCGGGAAUUCGAACACAGGUGCUGCAUGGCUGUCGUCAGCUCGUGUCGUGAGAUGUUGGGUUAAGUCCCGCAACGAGCGCAUCCCUUG